GGCGGCAGGCCUAAACAUGCAAGUCGAACGGCGCCCAGGAGAUCUUGCUCUCUGGGUGGCGAGUGGCGGACGGGUGAGGAAUACAUCGGACUCUACCUUUUCGUGGGGGAUAACGUAGGGAAACUUACGCUAACGCCGCAUACGACCUACGGGUGAAAGUGGGGGACCACAAGGCCUCACGCGAUUAGAUGAGCCGAUGUCCGAUUAGCUAGUUGGCGGGGUAAUGGCCCACCGAGGCGACUAUCGGUAGCUGGUCUGAGAGGAUGAUCAGCCACACUGGAACUGACACACGGUCCAAACUCCUACGGGAGGCAGCAGUGGGGAAUAUUGGACAAUGGGCGCAACCCUGAUCCAGCCAUACCGCGUGGGUGAAGAAGGCCUUCGUUUUGUAAAGCCCUUUUGUUGGGAAAGAAAUCCUGUCGAUUAAUACUCGGUGGGGAUGACGGUACCUAAAGGAUAAGCACCGGCUAACUUCGUGCCAGCAGCCGCGUUAAUAAUA
rnacentral:rRNA from 1 species